CAAGAAAUGAUAUAUCAUGUAUGAUUUCGACUCAUAAUUAGAUGUGUAAACAUCCUUGUUUA
rnacentral:tRNA from 1 species